CANCGGCGGCCCGAGUGGUAACCGCUAUUAUUGGGUCUAAAGGGUCUGUAGCCGGCCGGAUAAGUCUCUUGAGAAAUCUGGCAGCUUAACUGUCAGGCUUUCAGGAGAUACUGUCUGGCUCGAGGCCGGGAGAGGUGAGAGGUACUUCAGGGGUAGGGGUGAAAUCUUGUAAUCCUUGAAGGACCACCAGUGGCGAAGGCGUCUCACCAGAACGGACCUGACGGCAAGGGACGAAAGCUAGGGGCACGAACCGG
rnacentral:rRNA from 1 species